rnacentral:rRNA from 1 species
GCGGACGGGUGAGUAACACGUGGAUAACCUACCUAUAAGACUGGGAUAACUUCGGGAAACCGAAGCUAAUACCGGAUAAUAUAUUGAACCGCAUGGUUCAAUAGUGAAAGACGGUUUUGCUGUCACUUAUAGAUGGAUCCGCGCCGCAUUAGCUAGUUGGUAAGGUAACGGCUUACCAAGGCAACGAUGCGUAGCCGACCUGAGAGGGUGAUCGGCCACACUGGAACUGAGACACGGUCCAG